CCUCCCUAGCAUAAUUAUCACAAUGGUGAACUUCAGAUCCCCAAUUUUUCUGGUAGUAUUUAGGUUUCUUUUCUCUAAUUAUCUGAAAAUCUGAACACACAAGUCGUCAGCCAGAACCACAAAUCUCCCAUAUCAUCCAUCCAAAAUUACCAAUAUCAUAAAGUGGCAUAGGAUGUAGUACAAGGAAAUUGUACACGCAUUACCAGAAAUCUAUAACACGAAACUUUGAACGAUAUCUGAUAUUCAUUCCCCCUGAAUAACAGAGCUUUAAAGCUCUGUUAUCCAAUUGCAUCACCAUCUUCUUGUGUUUCCAUGGGAGGAAUGCAUCUUAUAUACCAUUUCACAGGGGGAGACCAUCUGCUUGGGAUUGAGAGGACAAAUCUUGGCCCGAGAAUGUUUCAGGGCUCAAGGGAACCAUUCCUAUCGAGAUGAGGAAAAAGCUUAAGAUGCAUGUCUUUCAUAUUCAUAAUUUUAUAAGAUUUAUAGACCGAAUCUUGUCUACGCCUAAUAUGUAAGGAGGAUGCGUCCAAAAAGACAGCUGAUUUGAGAUGCAAAAUAAAAUCAGAAAAAAGUUCCUUAACACAAAGAAAAUGUCAUAAUGAAGGAUAAUAGAUUUUAGAAACGUCGUUCUACAUUGUAAUUUAUAAAUGGAUGGAUGCUCUAGCUCUUUGAAAAGCUUCUCAGUUAUGACACUACUUUCUUCUCAGGUUGCCAAAGCAGCUCUGUUUCUCUACCCAUCUAGGGGAGGGGGGCUUUCUGAUUGACCUCAAUAAGUAUUUUGUGACAUUUUUCACCGUGUUUGGAGCAUCAAUCUCAUGGUAGAUGAAUAUAAUUCUUCACCGCCACAUAGGCAGAAAGGCGGACCGAAGCCUGAAAAUGAAUCAUAUAAAAGAUGCCAUAUGUUUGAAUGGGGUGAAUCAAGAGACGGGGCACGCCAACAAAACUACAGACAGAGCGAGAAUCCACAGAGAGGACGAAGCAGACGCCACCCGCUGGAUUAUUCCGAGAUCGCCAGCUCUUCAAAGAAACGACGUAUGUCGUGGCGAAAAAAGGACGGACCGCGUUCGAUAGAGCAACAUACACGGAGAAUAAAUCCAAGGAACUCGCGGGAAAAAUAUUCGGAUGGAGCCAACCUGCUUGACGAGUGAGACGGAUUUUCCGACGUCGGGAUCAGAGAGAUCGACGCAAUUUAGCACCGCCGUUUCAGGGUCGCCGAGAGACGUUGCCGGGGAACCCAUCGUCUCCCUCCCUUCUUCCCCCACCAGUGACAGAACACAGAGCAACAGAGAGAGAGAGAGAGCGAGACAGAGAGAGAGGGAGAGAGAAGGGAAAUGAUCAGGCCGGAGAGAGGAUCAGCUCCCCCACCAACACUCCAUCGACGGCGACGGUCGACCGACCUGCCCCAUGGUCCUCCGCCAUGCACGAAUACUCAUACUCCAGGCGUCCUCGCCCUCUUCUCAUUCUCUUCAUUUUUAUAAUUAAUUCAAAAAAACGCGCACAUCCGAAAUAAAUACAACCGCUAAUUUAAGCUCACGCGUUAUUACUGAUUCAUCCUU
rnacentral:lncRNA from 1 species